AGUUGCCUUGGUGGACUUUAGGUGAAACCUGUGAGGAAGAACUGGAUUCCAUGGCAACACAAGAAUCCAGGGUGACAACAAUUUCCAGAAGUUUCUCAUAUGGCCCUUGAGCUAGAACAGGUAUUUGUAAUUUGAAAUCCUGUAACUGUGGACCUGCGAAACUCCAUGAAAAUCAGUGUGGACUCAUCUACACUUUGAAUAUGGGCCAGCAAGGAGGAAGUCUUCAUUGAAUGGACUGCUUGAGUGAGGUUACAUCACAGCAUCAAGGAGGGUGAAAGUGGACCAGAAAAACAGGGAGUGUUGGAAGACACUGAAUACCAGGUGACAAUGUGUGGUCUUCUGUCUAUACUCAAAGAUUUCUGUCUAAGGUAAAUUUAAACUAUGGAAGACAAAAACUAACAGAACUCAGCCUGCCUGCCUAUCGACAUCAUCUCAUCCAUAGCACCAAUGUGGGAUGACAGAGAGUGCAACUCAAAUUUUAGUCUUGACUUUGGAGCAGUC
rnacentral:lncRNA from 1 species